rnacentral:rRNA from 1 species
UACAGAGGGGGCAAGCGUUGUUCGGAAUUACUGGGCGUAAAGGGCGCGUAGGCGGCCUUGUAAGUCGAACGUGAAAUCCCCGGGCUCAACCCGGGAACUGCGUCCGAUACUGGAAGGCUUGAAUUCGGGAGAGGGAUGCGGAAUUCCAGGUGUAGCGGUGAAAUGCGUAGAUAUCUGGAGGAACACCGGUGGCGAAGGCGGCAUCCUGGACCGGCAUUGACGCCGAGGCGCGAAAGCCAGGGGAGCAAACGGG